UACGUAGGGGGCAAGCGUUGUCCGGAAUCAUUGGGCGUAAAGCGCGUGUAGGCGGCUUGGUAAGUCUGCUCUGAAAGCCCGGGGCUCAACCCUGGGAGGCGGGUGGAUACUGCUGAGCUCGAGUCCGGAAGAGGCGAGUGGAAUUCCUGGUGUAGCGGUGAAAUGCGCAGAUAUCAGGAGGAACACCAACGGCGAAGGCAGCUCGCUGGGACGGUACUGACGCUGAGACGCGAAAGCGUGGGGAGCAAACAGG
rnacentral:rRNA from 1 species